AAUUUUUGGUCAAGCUACAAAGAGUCUAUGAGGAAUGACUUGGUCAAUUAAGGCGAAGAAGGACGUGGUAAGCGGCGAUACGCCCGGAGGAGCUGCAAACAAGCUUUGAUUCCGGGAUGUCCGAAUGGGGCAACCCAUCCCGAGUAAUGUUGGGAUAUCCCGUAUUAAAUUAAAUAGGUGCGGGAAGCGAAACCGGGGGAAGUGAAACAUCUCAGUACCCUGAGGAAGAGAAACCGAAAGGUAUUCCCUUAGUAGCGGCGAGCGAAGCGGGAAGAGCCUAAAUUUCGAUGACGCAAUAGCCUGUGCGCGUUGUCAUCGGAACGUUGUGGGACUGUUUAGAUACCUGUACAGAGGCAUCGGGAAGUAAAAAAAUCUCUAUUCAGCAGAAAGAUUUGGAAAAGUCUGCCAAAGAAGGUGAAAGCCCGGUAUGCGAAAAAUAGAGAUCUUCCUUGAACGGUAUCCCGAGUACUACGGAGCACGCGAAAUUCCGUAGGAAUCCGCCCUGACCACAGGGCAAGGCUAAAUACUCUAAUUGGACCGAUAGUGCACAAGUACCGUGAGGGAAAGUUGAAAAGAACCCCAGUGAGGGGAGUGAAAUAGAACCUGAAUUCAUAGACUUACAAGCGGUCGGAGCCCUAUGUCACGCGCAAGCGUGGAACGGGUGACGGCGUGCCUUUUGCAUAAUGAACCGGCGAGUUAUACAGAUAAGCAAGCUUAAUCCUCUUUAGGGGAGGAGGCGUAGGGAAACCGAGUCUGAAUAGGGCGAUUAGUUUGUCUGUAUAGACCCGAAGCUGAGUGAUCUACCCAUGACCAGUGCGAAGUGUACCGAAAGGUACAUGGAGGUACGAACCCAUGAAUGUUGAAAAAUUCCGGGAUGAGUUGUGGGUCGGAGUGAAAGGCUAAUCAAACUCAGGAAUUGCUGGUUCUCCUCGAAACGUCUUUAGGGACGGCCUUGAGUAAAUGAGCGAUGAGUGUAGAGUGCUGAAUGGGCUAGGGACCCCACCAGGUUGCCAAACCCAACCAAACUCCGAAAAUCAUCGUUUCUUAUCUCGGGAGACAGACAGUGCGGGCUAAGCUGCAUUGUCAAAAGGGAGACAGCCCAGACCGCCAGUUAAGGUCCCAAAGGAUAGGCUAAGUGGUAAAGGAUGUGGGGUAACAUAGACAACCAGGAUGUUGGCUCAGAGGCAGCCAUCAUUUAAAGAGUGCGUAACAGCUCACUGGUCGAGUUAUUCUGCGCCUAAGAUAAUCGGGGCUCAAGCCUAUUACCGAAACUGCGGAUUUACCCCGCCUUAGGGCGGGGCAAGUGGUAGAGGAGCGUACUGUUGUAGGUUGAAGGUGGACCGAGAGGACCACUCGACGAAGCAGUAGUGAUUAUGUCGGUAUGAGUAGCGCAAAUCACGGCGAGAAACCGUGACGCCGAAAGUCUAAGGUUUCCUGGGGAAGGUUAAUCCGCCCAGGGUGAGUCGAUCCUAAGCCGAGGCUGUUGAACGCGUAGGCGAUGGAUAUCCGGUUAAUAUCCCGGAACUGGUCAAAGGCGCUAUUACUUUGAUGUUGACGCAGGAGGUUGGGGUCAGCGGACUGUUGGAUGUGUCCGUCUAAGCCUGUAGUUUUAUCCGCAAGGGUAAGAUGAGGGGUGAAUGCGAAGCCGAUCUACGGAAAGGCUGAAGUGAUCUUAGGCCACACUGUCGAGAAAAUUCAUCAAAGGAGCCUUUGUCCAAUCGUACCGCAAUCCGACACAGGUAGACUUCCAUAAUAUGGUAAGGCGAUCGAGAGAACCCUCGUUAAGGAACUCGGCAAUCUAGCCUCGUAAGUUCGCAAGAAGAGGUGCCCUAAUGUGUGUAGCCCAUACGGGUGAAGCAUGAUAGGGUUUCAAUGAAGUGGCUCUGGUGACUGUUUAGCAAAAACCAAGCACUCUGCUAACUCGAAAGAGGACGUAUAGGGUGUGACACCUGCCCGGUGCUGGAAGGUUAAGGAGAGAGGUUAGCCCGUCGUAAGGCGAGUCGAAGCUUCGAACCGAAGCCCCAGUAAACGGCGGCCGUAACUAUAACGGUCCUAAGGUAGCGAAAUUCCUUGUGGGGUAAGUUCCCACGCGCACGAAUGGUGUAACAACUGGAGCGCUGUCUCAACGAGGGACUCGGCGAAAUUGUGGUGACAGUGAAGACGCUGUCUACCCGCACUUGGACGAAAAGACCCCGGAACCUUUACUCUACUCUGGUAUUGAAUUUUGAUCCGAUAUGUGUAGGAUAGGUGGGAGACUUUGAAGCCUGGGCGCUAGCUCGGGCAGAGUCGUCGGUGAAAUACCACCCUUAUUUUAUUAAGAUUCUAACCCCUUGCCGUGAAUCCGGCAGGGGAACAGUGCCAGACGGGGAGUUUGACUGGGGCGGUUUCCUCCUAAAAGAUAACGGCGGAGCCCAAUGCUAACCUCAAGACGGUCGGCAAUCGUCUGUCGAGUGUAAAGGCAUAUGGUUGGUUAACUGUGAUCCCGACAGGGAGAACAGGUGCGAAAGCAGGGCUUAAUGAUCCGGUACUUGUUUGUGGGAAUGGUAUCGCUCAACGAAUAAAAGGUACUCUGGGGAUAACAGGCUUAUCGCGCUCGAGAGUUCAUAUCGACAGCGCGGUUUGGCACCUCGAUGUCGGCUCAUCCUAUCCUGGGGCUGGAGAAGGUCCCAAGGGUCCGGCUGUUCGCCGGUUAAAAGGGUACGUGAGUUGGGUUCAGAACGUCGUGAGACAGUAAGACCAUUGCUGUCUAUAAACUUGGCUAAAUGCUGGAAAAUCUGAGUAUAUCAUAUUACUAUUUGAUGUUUCUGUCCUUAUAUUGCGAGAUGGAUAGAGAGAUCGGAAGUGAAAAGAUAUGAUUGCAGACAAUCAGCAGGAAAGACCAGGAGAAUCACUAUCGUUCUAUAUCGCGGGUUUUGUUGAUGGAGAGGGUAGUUUUCAUGUAGCGGUUCAGAAAAGCGAAAAUGUGAGGCUUGGUUGGCAAGUGAUACCUGAGUUUCAUGUGUCGCAGAAUCAUGAACGGACUGUUACACUAGAGAUUAUCCGUAAAGUUUUAGAUUGCGGCUAUAUAAAGCCUAAUCAUAAAACUAGAGAAAACGAUCGAACAGAUGUUUUGGUUGUUCGUAAUCAUCAAGACCUCAAAGAUAAAGUAAUCCCAUUUUUUAGACGGUAUAAAUUAUUAUCCUCUAAAAAUGGUGAUUUUGAGAAAUUUGCUGUGAUAGUUGAAUUUAUGGAUCAAGGCAAGCAUCUUGAAACGUCAGGUUUAAAAAAUAUCCUGAAGAUCGCUUUUUCAAUGAAUGGUAACGGCAGAUAUGGAAAAUUAUUGUUUAAUGAUAUUGUGAGUUCUUUGGUUUCCUCAGAGACUAUACGCCAGGCUUCGAGAAAAAUAUCGGAGAAGAUAUAGUCCGAACUGCAUAGCGAUAUGCAGAGCUCAACAGAAAUGUUUGAGCCUUUCGUAAUAUGCGGAAGUAACAAAAUUGUCGGUCUCUAUCCAGUGUGGGCGUUAGGAAGUUUGAAGGGAGUUGUCCUUAGUACGAGAGGACCAGGACAAACGAACCUCUGGUGUUCCAGCUGUCCUGCCAAGGGCAAAGGCUGGGUAGUCAUGUUCGGAAGAGAUAAGCGCUGAAGGCAUAUAAGCGCCAAGCUCGCCUUAAGAAUAGACUUCCCUCUUGUAGCAAUACAAGAAUAGACACCCGGAAGACUACCGGGUUGAUAGGUCCUAAGUGUAAGACCCGUAAGGGUUUCAGCUUAAAGGAUACUAAUUGUCAAUCGGCUUGACC
rnacentral:rRNA from 1 species